GGUGAACGCUGGCGGUAGGCCUAACACAUGCAAGUCGAACGGCAGCACAGUAAGAGCUUGCUCUUACGGGUGGCGAGUGGCGGACGGGUGAGGAAUACAUCGGAAUCUACUUUUUCGUGGGGGAUAACGUAGGGAAACUUACGCUAAUACCGCAUACGACCUACGGGUGAAAGCAGGGGAUCUUCGGACCUUGCGCGAUUGAAUGAGCCGAUGUCGGAUUAGCUAGUUGGCGGGGUAAAGGCCCACCAAGGCGACGAUCCGUAGCUGGUCUGAGAGGAUGAUCAGCCACACUGGAACUGAGACACGGUCCAGACUCCUACGGGAGGCAGCAGUGGGGAAUAUUGGACAAAGGGCGCAAGCCUGAUCCAGCCAUACCGCGUGGGUGAAGAAGGCCUUCGGGUUGUAAAGCCCUUUUGUUGGGAAAGAAAAGCAGCAGGUUAAUACCCCGCUGUUCUGACGGUACCCAAAGAAUAAGCACCGGCUAACUUCGUG
rnacentral:rRNA from 1 species